GACGAACGCUGGCGGCGUGCCUAACACAUGCAAGUCGAACGGGAUCCAUGAGAGCUUGCUCUCGGAAGAUCUAGUGGCGAACGGGUGAGUAACACGUGAGAAACCUGCCCUGGAGUGGGGAAUAACUCGGGGAAACCCGAGCUAAUACCGCAUACCCUUGGAUGAUCGCAUGGUCGACCAAGGAAAGAUUUAUCGCUCUAGGAGGGUCUCGCGGCCUAUCAGCUAGUUGGUGGGGUAAUGGCCUACCAAGGCAACGACGGGUAGCUGGUUUGAGAGAACGAUCAGCCACACUGGGGCUGAGACACGGCCCAGACUCCUACGGGAGGCAGCAGUGGGGAAUCUUGCGCAAUGGGCGAAAGCCUGACGCAGCAACGCCGCGUGCGGGAUGACGGCCUUCGUGGUUGUAAACCGCUUUGUAGGGGAAGAGGAAGGACGGUACCCUGCGAAUAAGUCACAGCUAACUACGUGCCAGCAGCCGCGGUAA
rnacentral:rRNA from 1 species